rnacentral:RNase_P_RNA from 1 species
GAGAUUAAUCGGAUAGUCGCUCCNNNNNNNNNNCGAACUCCGCAGGAUAGAGUGCCUCUUAACGAGAGGAAUCCUUUUUAGGAUAUGGCAAGUGCAACAGAAAGUAAACAUCUAUUUAUAGAUAAAGGUGAAAUGGUGGUGUAAGAGACCACCGGAUUUUAUAGCAAUAUAGAAUGCCAGGUAAACCCCAGUCGGAGCAAAAUCAAGUAACCGGUGUUAUCCGCACUUACGGUGGGUGGAUUGCAAGAACUUAUUUGUGAAAAUAAGUCUAGAUGAAUGGCUAUC